CAGUCGCCGCGGUAAUACGUAGGGUGCAAGCGUUAAUCGGAAUUACUGGGCGUAAAGCGUGCGCAGGCGGUUUGUUAAGACAGAUGUGAAAUCCCCGGGCUCAACCUGGGAACUGCAUUUGUGACUGGCAAGCUAGAGUGUGGCAGAGGGGGGUGGAAUUCCGCGUGUAGCGGUGAAAUGCGUAGAGAUCGGGAGGAACAUCAGUGGCGAAGGCGGCCAUCUGGGACAACACUGACGCUGAGGCACGAAAGCGUGGGGAGCAAACAGGAUUAGAUACCCCAGUAGUCCCUGUCUCUUAUAC
rnacentral:rRNA from 1 species